GAUGAACGCUGGCGGCGUGCCUAAUACAUGCAAGUCGAGCGAACAGACGAUGAUCUUGCUCCUCUUACGUUAGCGGCGGACGGGUGAGUAACACGUGGAUAACCUACCUAUAAGUCUGGGAUAACUUCGGGAAACCGGUGCUAAUACCGGAUAAUAUAUUGAACCGCAUUUUUCAAUAGUGUAAGACGGUUUUUCUUUCUCUUAUAGAUGUUUCCGCGCCGCAUUAGCUAGUUGGUAAGGUAACGGCUUACCAAGGCAACGAUGCGUAGCCGACAUGAGAGGGUGAUCGGACACACGGGAACUGAGACACGGAACAGACAACUACGGGAGGCAGCAGUAGGGAAGAUUAGGCAAUGGGCGAAAGCAUGACGGAGCAAAGCCGAGUGAGAGAUGAAGGUCUUAGGAUCGUAAAACUCUGUUAUUAGGGAAGAAAAAAUGUGUAAGUAAAUAUGAACGUAGUGACGGUAACGAAUCAGAAAGCAACGGCUAACUACGUG
rnacentral:rRNA from 1 species